GCACCCUACGGGGCGCAGCAGUGGGGAAUAUUGCACAAUGGGGGAAACCCUGAUGCAGCGACGCCGCGUGAGUGAAGAAGUAUUUCGGUAUGUAAAGCUCUAUCAGCAGGAACGAGACAAAACGGCACCUGACUAAGAAGCCCCGGCUAACUACGUGCCAGCAGCCGCGGUAAUACGUAGGGGGCAAGCGUUAUCCGGAAUCACUGGGUGUAAAGGGAGCGUAGACGGCUGAGCAAGCCUGAAGUGAAAGGCGGGGGCACAACCCCCGGACUGCUUUGGGAACUGUACGGCUG
rnacentral:rRNA from 1 species